rnacentral:rRNA from 1 species
CCCUUAGAUGUUCUGGACCGCACGCGUGCUACACUGAGUGGAUCAGCGGGUCAGGUUGCGCGAAAGUGUUUCCUAAUCUUCAAAUCCGCUCGUGAUGGGGAUUGACGGUUGCAAUUUUCCGUCAUGAACGAGGAAUACCUUGUAAGCGCGGGUCAUCAUCCCGCGCUGAAUACGUCCCUGCCCUUUGUACACACCGCCCGUCGCUCCUACCGAUUGAGUGGUCCGGUGAGGCUUUGGGAUCUAAGCGAAAAGAGCGUUUCGCUCCUUUUGCUGGGAGAACUCAGUCGAACCUUAUCAUUUAGAGGAAGGAGAAGUCGUAACA